GACGAAGGGGGCUAGCGUUGUUCGGAAUUACUGGGCGUAAAGCGCGUGUAGGCGGUUGUUCAAGUCAGGUGUGAAAGCCUUGAGCUCAACUCAAGAAAUGCACUUGAUACUGGAUGACUAGAGGACCGGAGAGGUAAGUGGAAUUCCGAGUGUAGAGGUGAAAUUCGUAGAUAUUCGGAAGAACACCAGUGGCGAAGGCGACUUACUGGACGACUGUUGACGCUGAGGUGCGAAAGCGUGGGGAGCAAACAGG
rnacentral:rRNA from 1 species